UUUUUAUUUUUUACUUUUUAAAAUAUAAUUAUUUUGUUUAGAGUAAAUAUUUUUUGGGGUAAGACUCCUAGUGACCCUGAUUAGGUGUAUUCUGUUUUUUUCUGCCUACGAAAUUUAGUGUUUACUAGCUAUCUUGGAGCUACUCCAAGGUAGAGCACAAAUGACAGUCACAUACGCAAAGUGAUAAAUAGUAAAAAAUACGUUAUAACUUUAAUCGUGUGGUUAUGAAGGCGUGUUCUACCUUAAAACGGUUCCAACAUAACUAGACCCAAUAUAACAAUAUAAAUUUUUAAAAAAAAUUUAUCCCAAAGUACUAUAAUGUCAUGGGUUCCCUCCCACCAGUCGGCAUCCAUUCUCUAAAAUUUCACUCUUUUGUUUUCGCUAAAACAUUCAUGUAGAGUAUACAAACAACAAAUUUGCAUGAUUUUACUCUCAUGGAAAUAGGUCAUUCAUACCACUAAGGAUCUUGGCGCAAAUUCGAAAUAAAAACAUUUCCUACAUGUCAUAGAGUCUCCCCCAAAGUUAUUCUCAUUCAAUAAUUACCCGACAAAUAAGUUGAUUUAAAUCAGACAAGAAAUGAUGAUUCAUUACAUCUUCAAUAUUCUCUAUUUUGUGAACAUUCCCCCCUAAACCAGUAAGUCAUUCUCGUCCAUUUCUUCCAAUUUCUGAAUUUCAUGAUCUUUUUUCAAGUUCUUCAUUCUGCACAAUAAAUAAUACUUCAAUUAAAAAUUUAUAAUUAUAAUUUAAGAUAGAAUAAAAUUAAAGCAAGUAUAAUAAAACUGAAUUGUGGUUAUAGACUUAGCAAUCACCUAAAUUAUCAACCACCCAAAAAAGUUAAUUAAACUUUGAUAUCAUUCUACGUUAUUGAGCUUCAACUAGUCACUAUCUUUGUAUUCAUCUUCUACAUAAAUGACAAAACCCAUUCAUAAAAAAUAAUCACAAAUCAAUAACAAUAAAUAAAUGAUUUAAUGAAGUCUACGGUUCAUCAAUCACUUGUAGUAGCAAGCGACUAGCAAGCAAAAAUGGAAGAUACAAUCUGAACCAUUAAUUCAGCAGAUAAUAACACUAAAUCAAGAACACUAAGUGAAGAUUACGGCUCAUUAGAUCCAUUGGCAGUUUACACAAUUGAUACUUGACCAAGAGUGUAGAAAGCCUUCUUUCUCUCUCAAUUUUGCCUUUUGUGUGUGUGUGCAUGUGUGUAGAUUGUGAAGAUUUGGAGCUGUAAAUUUGCAGCAAGUUGCAAAGGCUUGGAUCAAAGAAGCAGCUACCAGUAAAAGCUUCAUAGCAGGCUCAGGGAUGGCCAAUCAAGGUAUUGAAUACACAUCUCUCUCUCAAGCGUGUGUUUGAAAGGAUUUGCAAGAUCAUGGGGUUUUGAAUGAAAAUCAUUUCAGCAGUGAACGGCUUGGUUUCUACUUAGGGGUGGGCAAAAUUGGGUUCGGAUCAAUCCGAUUAGGUUCUAGGUUGUUCUGGUUAGGUAAAAAUUAAUCCGAAUGAAAUCCGAACUUAUAACCCGAUCCGAUCUGAUAUAUAUUCAGGUCGGAUUAAAUCGGGUCAAAAAAUCGGAUUGAAUUCGGAUGAGUUCGGGUUCGGAUAAGAGACCGGCCAAAGUCUUCAAAUGGGCAAAGCUUCAAUUUCAAAACUCAAAAGUCUCAAAACUCAAAAGGGGUCGGGUUGGAGGCUUAGAGCAAAAUCAGGUAUUCAGGUUACACUUGCAGUUGCUGUCAAGUUGGAGGCUUGGUGCAGUAGAUCAAUGGCACUUGGGAGCAGAUUGGUGGUCGACUGGCCGCGGACGCACAACAGCAAAUUGCAGACCCGUAACAAAUCGAGAUCGAGCAUGAAGAGGGGUCUUUCUUCUAGUCUAGAAUGAGAAGUUGCUGGUGCUUAGAGAUGAGAAGUUCAGCGAGGGAGAUGGUUGUGGGUUCGUGGCUGUGGCUGUCGGCGGCGUGAUGUGAGGGUAACUAGGUGAAGCCGUGAAGCUGUGUUGGGUCUUGUUCUCUUGGGUGUGUACUGUGUUGUGUGUGUGUUUUGUGUAAUACGUAUGUGAUCUGGGUUCUUUUGCUUCUUUGUCCAUGAUUUUUGUGUUUGUGAUGUGUAUGUGACUGUGUUUUGUGAAUCUGUCUGUGAUUUGUGUCAUUAUGUGUGUGGCUUGCGUGGGUUAGGUUUUUUUUUUUUUUUUUUAAAGUAACCCGAUCAGGUUUUCGGAUUGGAUCGGGUCAUAACCCGAUCGGGUUUAAAAGAUUUCAUCCGAUCAGAUAUUAUUAACAACCCGAUCCUAUCUAAACCAAAAACUUUUUGGGUCGGUUCAGGUCGGAUCAGGUAUUUUACCCACUCUUAUUUCUACUUCAAUAUGGUAUGUACUUACAAACAAGUAAAUUAAUAAGGGAAAUUAUCCCUCAAAGCAAUGAUUAUGAUAGUUCUAGAAGCUCAAAGUAAAAUAAAAAGGUACAAGUGUAAGAGUGAUGCUAUGCUUUCUCAGUUGAGAUAAUUUAUAUUGCAACGGAUGUGUCACCAGCAAAAAAAAUUCUUUAUUUGAAUUAGAAAUGAUAAAAAUUAAUAAUUAACUGUCACUCCAGCCAAUUAAAUAGUGAUGCAUCAUUUAUCAUAUCAGUAUCCCAACUAAGUAAGGAUAACAUUACUAUAAAUAGUGAUAUAUCAUUUAUCAUAUCAGUAUCCCAACUAAAUGCAAAGCACCUAAAUGAAUCCUCUCACACAAUGUAAGGCUUUAUAUAGCCCAUUAUGAGAUCUAGAAAGAUCUUUGUUUGUUAGCUUGAUUUUAGGUUGUUAUUUUCCUGCCAAUACCAACGACCUUAACCAUGUUUGACUGGUUUAGUGCUUUAUUACUAAAUUAAGCUUCUCACAAUGACAUUUUUUUUAUGGAGGAUGAGAAAAUGAAUGCAACACAUAACAACCGAUAUUCUCGUUUGCUUAUCAAUCCAGAUUUGAGAUAACACUUUCAGCACUAAAUCUGAGCACCAAAUGACUUUCAAAAUAAUAACAUAUUGUAAGGAGCUUUGUAAGAUCUUAAUCGUAGAUUAAACAAUGGAUAUCUUAGUAUUACAAAAUUUACUAAAAUUUGGAUGUUGACAAGCUGACUCUGCCUUUAUCCCCAAUAAAAUGGUGUUGUGUUUUACAAUUUAUUUACCAACUUUCAUCUCUCUAUCUUUAAUUUCUAAGUGAUGAUACAGCCACAAACUCUUGUACAAAUUUAUCUUGUACAAAUUAAUUUGGCAUUAAUUCAUUGGUUGAAUGAAAAUACAAAAUAAUAAAAAUAAAUCAUGUGGACCAAGAGAUAUUU
rnacentral:lncRNA from 1 species